rnacentral:rRNA from 1 species
UACGAAGGGGGCAAGCGUUGUUCGGAAUUACUGGGCGUAAAGGGCGCGUAGGCGGCUUAUCAAGUCAGGCGUGAAAUUCCCGGGCUCAACCUGGGGGCUGCGCUUGAUACUGAUGAGCUUGAAUGCGGGAGAGGAUAGUGGAAUUCCCAGUGUAGAGGUGAAAUUCGUAGAUAUCGGGAGGAACACCAGUGGCGAAGGCGACUACCUGGCCUGUUCUUGACGCUGAGGCGCGAAAGCCGGGGGAGCAAACAGG